ACUGUCCACAGUCCUGAGGCCAAGAGGGCCCAGUCCCAGCAGCAAGGGAGAUGGAGGGUGCAAGCCCGCCAGGCACCGCGGUCUCUGCAGGUGGACACCAGGCGUAGCCCCGCACGCCCCUGGUGUCUGGCCGGCCUCAGCUGCGGGCUUCCGGGCGCACACACUCCCUUAGGAGGCGCCCCCGUCUCGAGUGGGGCCCAGAGGCCCCAGGCGCCCCAGGACAAGGCCAGCUCGGUGGGCACCCCGGUCCUGGCAUCUGGGAGGCAACACGCUGGGGGCUGCCCGCCGCACGAGGCCCACGCCGAAGCUGGGGGCUGGUUCCGCUCGGAAGGAGCCCGGAGGCUGAGCCAGAGCAGGGGGCUCAGGCAGAGGCCCGGGGGAGCGGCGGCGGCGGCGGCGGCGCGGGUCGCGCGCUCAGCCGAGAGUCCUGCAGGGGGCGCUGCUGUUUCACACGGCGAAUCGGGACGAGGUUUCGGUUUGCGGGGAAAAGAGGGUGGAGCCGGAGAGGAUGUCCCCGCCCACCGGGGCAAGCCCCACCCCUUCUCCCGCCGGCCCCGCCCCCUCCCGCGGGCCCGGGCGGAGGAGCGCUCCGGGGCGCCCCGUCCCUGGGCGCUCAGUUUCCCGGUCCGGCCCCGCGGGAGGACGGCGGCACCACGUCCGCGCGGCCGAAGCACCGCCCAGGAGGAGGCUCUGGAGAGGCCAGGGCCUCGGGAAAGCCGCCCGCCCGCCGGCCUCCCACUGGGCCGAGGCGGCGCUGCCCCGCGCCCUCCGGAGCGCGGACGCCGGGGGGAGGACAGAGUGGACGCGGCCGCUCUCCCACCGCCCCCAGCACGCAGGCGCCCCUUCCGGAAGCAGUUUCUGUCCCCGGUAGACGAGCUCCGACCCACGGGCCCCACCCCGGAGCCCACCCAGGCCAAGCCCGCCCCUCGCCCGAUCCUCGGGCGCCUCGGCUCCGUGGCCGCCGCUGUGUAUCCGGAGGGUCGGUUCAGAGCUGUAGGGAGGCGACGGGGCAGCACCGAGCUCCCCCGUGAGGACCUGACAUGGAAGCGCAGCGGUGAAGCCACAGAAAUGGAACGACAGUCUGAGUCUCCUCCGCUGCGGACAGGCUCCUCGGGCUUCGGGAGCCAUGGGAUGUUCACGGGGACAGAAUCCAGACGGCACCGCGCCGCGGCCGCCCCUGCCGGACGCCAGGUGGCCAGCGAGCUAGCCGUCUGGAGGCCGAAAGAGGGCGCCCGACACUGCGGAGUGGCCCCGGUGACCUCGCCAAACUGAGCGGGCUUCGUCAGGCGCAAGACGGGCUAACUUUUGACCCUCUUGCAGAAGUGGCCUCCGAGGACUUGGGCCUGGACGCCGUGGGCACCAAGCGUCU
ensembl:lncRNA